CCUACGGGAGGCAGCAGUGGGGAAUUUUCCGCAAUGGGCGAAAGCCUGACGGAGCAAUACCGCGUGAGGGAAGACUGCCUAUGGGUUGUAAACCUCUUUUUUCAGGGAGGAAUAAAAUGACGUGUACCUGAAGAAUAAGCAUCGGCUAACUCCGUGCCAGCAGCCGCGGUAAGACGGAGGAUGCAAGUGUUAUCCGGAAUCACUGGGCGUAAAGCGUCUGUAGGUGGUUUAAUAAGUCAACUGUUAAAUCUUGAGGCUCAACUUCAAAACCGCAGUCGAAACUAUUAGACUAGAGUAUAGUAGAGGUAAAGGGAAUUUCCAGUGGAGCGGUGAAAUGCGUAGAUAUUGGAAAGAACACCGAUGGCGAAAGCACUUUACUGGGCUAUUACUAACACUCAGAGACGAAAGCUAGGGUAGCAAAUGGGAUUAGAUACCCCAGUAGUCCUAGCCGUAAACUAUGGAUACUAGAUGUUGAACAGAUCGACCUGUGCAGUAUCAAAGCUAACGCGUUAAGUAUCCCGCCUGGGAAGUAUGCUCGCAAGAGUGAAACUUAAGGAAUUGACGG
rnacentral:rRNA from 1 species